rnacentral:rRNA from 1 species
UACGUAGGUGGCAAGCGUUGUCCGGAUUUACUGGGCGUAAAGAGCGCGCAGGCGGUCGUUCAAGUCGCGUGUGAAAGCCCCCGGCUCAACUGGGGAGGGUCACGCGAUACUGAUCGACUCGAAGGCAGGAGAGGGAAGUGGAAUUCCCGGUGUAGUCGUGAAAUGCGUAGAUAUCGGGAGGAACACCAGUGGCGAAGGCGACUUCCUGGCCUGUUCUUGACGCUGAGGCGCGAAAGCUAGGGGAGCAAACGGG